UCGAACGCGAACGGCUCCUUCGGGAGCCUAGUAGAGUGGCAAACGGGUGAGUAACGCGUGGGUAACGUACCCUGAUCCUGGGAAUAACCCUCGGAAACGAGGGCUAAUACCGAAUGUGGCGAACGACCGGUUGGUCGCUCGCUAAAGGUGGCCUCUUCUAUGCUGCCGGGUUGGGAUCGGCCCGCGUCCCAUUAGCUAGUUGGUGAGGUAACGGCUCACCAAGGCCACGAUGGGUAGCCGGCCUGAGAGGGUGUACGGCCACACUGGCACUGAGACAAGGGCCAGUCCCCUAUGGGAGGCGCAGGCGGGAAUAGUUCACAAUGGGCGAAAGCCUGAUGACGCGACGCCGCGUGAGCGAAGAAGACCUUCGGGUUGUAAAGCUCUGUCAGGAGGGAAGAAGGCUCUACGGGUUAAUAGCCCGUGGAAUUGACGGUACCUCCAGAGGAAGCCCCGGCUAAAUACGUGCCAGCAGCCGCGGUAAUACGUAUGGGGCAAGCGUUGUCCGGAUUUACUGGGCGUAAAGGGCGCGUAGGCGGUUUGUUAAGUCGAAGGUGAAAUCCUCGGGCUCAACUCGAGAAUUGCCUUCGAUACUGGCAAACUAGAGUGGCGGAGAGGAAAGCGGAACUCUUGGUGUAACGGUGGAAUGUGUAGAUAUCAAGAGGAACACCGGUGGCGAAGGCGGCUUUCUGGACGCACACUGACGCUCAGGCGCGAAAGCGUGGGUAGCAAACAGGAUUAGAUACCCCUGGUAGUCCACUCCAUGAACCGAUGGGUACUAGGUGUCCGGGGGUAUCGACCCCUCCGGGGCCGCAGUUAACGCACUAAGUACCCCGCCUUGGGGAUUCUGGUCGCAAGGCUGAAACUCGAAGGAAUUGACGGGGCCCCGCACAACCGGUGGACCAUGUGGUUAAAUUCGAAGCAAGGCGAAGGAACCUUACCUGGGCUUGACAUGCUUGGGACAGCGCUGGAAACAGCGUCUCUCCUUCGGGAGCCCUUGCACAGGUGCUGCAUGGCUGUCGUCAGCUCGUGUCGUGAGAUGUUGGGUUAAGUCCCGCAACGAGCGCAACCCUCGUUACUAGUUGCCAUCAGUUCGNCUGGGCACUCUAGUGAGACUGCCGGUGAUAACCCGGAGGAAGGUGAGGAUGAUGUCAAGUCAUCAUGGCCCUUACGCCCAGGGCUACACACGUGCUACAAUGGUCGGCACAAAGGGUCGCUAAGCCGCGAGGUGGAGCUAAUCCC
rnacentral:rRNA from 1 species